GAAUGAUACAGGGUCUGUCCUGGAAAUAUCUGUGGGCAGAAGGAAUGCUGACCCAAGAUCCUCAGUUACACAUGAGCUUGGCAUCUCUGGAAGAGGGCAAGGAGCCCGGGUGUGUAUUGAGCAAGGGAGUGGAAAGCAGUGAAUUGUGGCAGGGUCUGGAUGUGAAGGGUCUGGAUGAUGGGAAAACCAUCUUACUAUUCAAACCAUCUUGAGAUCAGAGACCAUCAUAACAUCUUAAGCAAGGGAGUGGCUGGAUCUGACCUAAGGUUUUAUAAGACCACUGUGGAUGCUUUGUGGAGGAUAGAACACAGGUGAGGAGUAGAAGCGGGGAGGCCAGAGAGAAGGCUGUUACCAUAGGUAUUACCAUAGGUGAUGGGUGGUAAGACUAGAGAAGGAAACAGAAAGAACAGGGAGUGUAUUUCAGAGGUAGAUGGAAAGAUAGGGCUGGAGGUGAAAGUGGAAUAGAAAGGGGAGGAGCAAGGAUAGUGCCUGAUUUUUUGUUUGAGAAACAGGGUAAAUGGUGGUGACGUUUUCUGAGAUGAGCAAAAUGUGGAGAGAGGAGUUACACUGGGAGGGUUGCAUAUAUAAAUGUGUAGAGAUGCGAUACUAGUUUGAGUUUCCCCAGAAGCAUCCUCUGAGCUAAGGAUUGGGGCACCAUUGGAUUAUCCUGGAGGUGAUCCCAGGAAACACUAGUGCAAGAGGAGGAGAAGUGAGGUAGGAGAAGAAGGCAGCCAAUCAGGGACACAUGAUCAAGCAAGUUACCAGCGCGGCAAGUCCCCUUGGAGAACUCUGGGGGUCAGUGUAGAACCUUGUACCUCAAUGUUAUUCCACCCAAGUGGUGACGAAGCUGGGUUUCUUAAUCCCAUUGGCUGAAGGCUGUUCCUGAGGGAGAGUUUCCUGGCACCUCCACCCUGCUGUGUGCAGAUGGAGGGGCCUCCAGCCAUUGGAGAGAGCCCUGAAGUCAAGAGAUGCAGGUGCUGGCAGCUAGUACAGGGUCAUGACAGGGAUACGAGCAGCACCUGCCACAAUACCAAAUGGGCAGAUGGACCCACAUCUGUAGCUCAGGGUAGAAUGUCUCAUUCCUGGUGCAAGACUGUUCAGAGCUUCCUUUUGCCCUGGCACAGUGGCCAGCAAGAUGUGGAGGAAGUAGGAGUGGCCUACUGCCUACAUCCCUGAAUGACAGUGACAAAUGACAUGAGCUCCUCUACUGAUCUAGGUUGGG
rnacentral:lncRNA from 1 species